UAAGAAUUUAAAAGUCGAACAGACUUAUUUUUAAGAAUUCUGCUUCUUAAAAUAACCUUAAUUCAACAUCGAGGUCGCAAAACACAAUAUAGAUAUGAACUCCCCAUCGAAAUUACGCUGUUAUCCCUAAGGUAACUAAAUCUUAUUAUCCCUUUAAUUAAGGAUCUAUAACUUCAUAAAUAAAUGAACUUAAAAACUAAAGUUAAAUAUUUAGCUGCCUCCCCAGCAAAAUAUAAAUAAACAUCAAAAAAUAUGUUAAUAAAAUUUUAUAAACAUAAAAUCAUAUAAAGUUCUAUAGGGUCUUAUCGUCCCAAUAAAUUAAUAAAGCAUUUUAACCUUAAAUUUAAGUUUUAACAUUUAAAGAAAUAAAAUAUAAUUCUCAUACAUCCAUUCAUACAAGCUUUCAAUUAAAAAACUAAUUACUAUGCUACCUUUGCACAGUCAAAAUACUGCAGCCAUUUAGAAACGAACCAUCGGGCAGAAGAUACUUUUCAUAAAAUCA
rnacentral:rRNA from 1 species